CACGAAGAACAAUUAAAAACAUAAAAGAUACGGCCCCUUCAUUUACUGUGUAAAUCAUCUGUCACUCAGAAGUAAUUGCGUCAUCUUAUGGUUUAUUUAUUAUUAUGAAAAAUUAUCAAGGACAUCUUAGUCUUUCCCUUUAUUUUUUUUAUAAUAGUUUAAUUACUUGAUUAAACUUUAAAAUAAUUAAUUAAUUAACUCAAGUCUAAGAGCUUUUUUCUAGAUUUUACUUCAAUCAACACAAUGAAUUGAUUUUGUUACCCUGAAUUCAAUUUUUACCCUUGAAAUUCUAAUCUUUCAAAACUUGCUUCAAUGUAAGAGUCAUCGAGCCUUCUUUAUCUUGGUACGGCGCGUGUCAACGGUAGGACAAUGGUACAAUGUAUCGCAAAAGAAGAAAAAAACACAAGCCAGUCGAUUUUAAUCUUUCUUUACUUUUUUUUAGAUCUGUUUUCUUCUUUUUUGUUUCGUUGUUCUUUCCUUUUCAGGUAGCAGAUCCAGCGGCUGUGGGUCUGUCACGGUUGAAAGGAGGAGGGCGAUGGUCCUGCUGGUGUUUGAAGGGUGGCGUUGCCACGGUUGGUGGUGAAGAGAAUCGGGGUAGAUGGAGGAGCUAUCGAUGUUCUGUGGGGGCAGAGGACAGGAAGACAGAUCGGGACAGAGAGGGGAAGAUCUGGUGAGGAAAAUGAUGGAGAAGAGGGAGGUCUGUCCGGUGUGUUAUAUUUGAGAAAAUAUAAAUUGAUGCACUUAGAACACUGGGAGUAAUUGAUAUCUAUAUUCAAUAGAAACAGUGGCUAUAAAUAGCCUUACAAUGCAGGAUAAAAUCAAAUAACAACCCACGAAGUUCAUGCUCUAAGAUCGUGGUGAAUGACUAAGUCUUGUAACAGAAAAUGUGAUCUUCUCCCUAAUAGACAGGAGACUUAUUUGCAAUGCUAUGGCUAAGUCAACAUCUAAUUUUAUCAUCCUCCCUUAAACUGCAUGUGCAGGCAGUUUAUUCAGUGUAUUCACAAAUACCCAUUAAGUCUCGUAAUUUCAAAAAAGCUUCAAUCUUCAAAGGCUUAGUCAUGAUAUCUGCAAUUUGAUCAUGAGUAGAACAAUAUGUUAGUUCUAUAACUUCGUCCUUGACCAGAUCACGGAGAAAAUGAAAACGAAUGUCGAUGUGCUUGCUACGUCCAUGCAUAACUGGAUUUUUUGAAAGUUUGAUGGCUGAGAUAUUAUCACAAUAUACAACCAUCGGUCCGGAUUGUGUAUAAUUUAGACUUUUUAGAAUUCUCCUCAGCCAGAUGACUUGGCAAGUGCUAGAUGCUGCGGCAAUAAAUUCAGCUUAUGUAGUAGAAAGGGUAACUACUGGUUGUUUCUUUGAAGACCAGGAUACUGCAGUUGAAUUCAUCAUAAAAACAUAACCAGAAGUACUUUUUCUAUCAUUUUGAUCUCCCGCGUAAUCACUGUCCGUGUAACCGAACAAUUCAGCAACUCCUCCCUUCUUAUAGAACAUCCCAAAACUGGUUGUGCCUUUUAUAAACCUUAGAAUCCUCUUUGCCGCCAUAAAAUGAGAUUCUGUGGGGUGCUCCAUGUACCUGCUGAUCAGACUCACAGCAAACAUCAAAUCAGGACGUGUGGCAGUAAGGUACAUAAGACUCCCCACCAUUUGCUUGUAAAGGGUGCUAUCGACUUGAACUCCUCCUUCAUCUCUUGUCAGUUUAAAUCCAGGAAUAAUUGGAUUUUUCACUGAGUUGCACUGACCCAUAUGAAAUCUCUCAAGAAUUUCAUGAGCAUAUUUGCGUUGGCAUAUAAAUAUGCGAUCAUCCUUCUGCAAUACCUCGAUGCCUAGAAAAUAUCUCAUUUUUCCAAGAUCAGUCAUGUCGAAUUCAGUCAUCAUGGAUUUCUUGAAUUUAUUGAACAUACCUUCAUCAUUCCCAGUAAAUAUGAGAUCAUCAACAUAAAGACAACUGAUCAAAAUUUUACCUCCAUCUCCAAUUUUAAUGAACAAGGUAUGUUCAUGUGGACAUUUGUUGAAGCCUUCUUGCACAAAGUAUGACUCUAUGCCACUAUACCAAGCGCGGGGAGCUUGUUUUAGUCCAUACAAUGCUUUCUUUAGACGAUAAACUUUUGAUUCAUGCCCUUUUUUUUCAUAGCCUGGAGGUUGAUCUACAAACACCUCUUCAUUAAUUUCACCAUGUAGGAAAGCGGAUUUGACAUCAAGCUGAAAAAUGUCCCAACCUUUAUGCGCUGCAAGAGAGAUUACCAUGCGAAUCGUAUCUAGCCGUGCCACGGGUGCAAAGACUUCAGCGUAGUCAAUCCCAUAUUGUUGACUAUACCCCUUAGCAACUAGACGUGCUUUAUAUUUAUCAACCUCCCCGAGCUCAUUGAAUUUUGUUUUAAAAAUCCAUUUGACUCCUACAGUUUUAGCCCCCGGUGGCAGAUCAGUUAAUUCCCACGUCUGGUUUCUCUCUAUUGCAUAGAUUUCAGCAUUCAUAGCCACCCUCCACUUGUCAUCUUUCACGGCAUCAUCAAAGGAUGAUGGGUCAUUGUCGGUGAACAAUGCCAGAUUUCCAAAGUGCAAAUCGACUGCCACAUCGUCUGCUCUCCUCAAAUGAACGUCGUCUGCCACGUCGUCUGCAUCAUUCAAAUUCACGUCGUCUGCAUCACCAAAAUCACUUCCCAUUUCAUAUUCUCUCAUCCAUCGGGGCUGUCUUCUUCUUCUUCCUCGAGAUAAAAUCAAAUUCUCAGAAUUUUCAGAAUUUUCCCCCAGCUCAGCUUAGUCUUCCACCAGCUCCUCCAGUUCGGCUUGACCAUCAUCUUGCUCAACACACCCUUUGUUAUUACCAAACCCAUUCCCCUCUGUUUCCGCAACUGCAAACCCAUUUCCUUCCUGUUCUGGAAAUGGCUCCCACUCGUCUCCAAUUCUUGGUCUGCCAUGAUCUCCCCACUGGAAAUCUGCCUCCUUUUCUUGCCCAUGAUCUCCCCAAUUCCACUGUUUUUCUUCCUCAAAAACCACAUCCCUGCUAAUGAUAAUUUUGUUUGAAAUUGGAUCAAACAUACGGUAGGCCUUAGAAUUUUCGCUUACCCCCAGAAAAACACACUUGAUGUUUUUUGUAUCAAGUUUAAUUCUUCUUUGAGUUGGAACAUGUACAUGCCCCAAACAGCCGAAUACUCUGAAGUGCGCCACCGAUGGUUUAACACCAUCCCAUGCCUCCUGUGGUGUUUUAUUUUUCACAGCAAGAGUGGGGCUGCGAUUCAACACAUGCACCGCCCAAUUAACGGCUUCGGGCCAAAAGGUUUUGGGAAUUUGCUUCUCCAGCAACAAGCUCCUCACCAUAUUCAAGAUUGUCCUGUUUUUCCUCUCGGCGAUGCCAUUUUGUUGGGGCGAGUAUGGGGCUGUCAAUUGCUUGUGAAUGCCAUUAUCAUUGUAGAAGGCUGUGAAUUCGGUUGAGGUGAAUUCACCCCCUCGGUCUGAUCUGAGGUUUUGAAUGAAAGUUCCAGUGACUUUUUCGACCCGAGCCUUAAAUUGCUUGAAGGCUGAAAAAGCUUCUGAUUUGUCUGCCAAAAAAUAAACCCAGAUUUUCCUGCUAUAAUCGUCAAUAAACGUUAUGAUAUACCUUCUAUUGUUGUUUGAGCUGGGAUUGAUUGGACCGCAGAGAUCAGUGUGCACCAAUUGGAGAAUUGCAGUGGCCCUCCACACGCUUUCCCGAGGAAAUGGGUCUCGGUGUUGUCUGCCGAUCAAGCAUCAUGUGCAUACUUGUUGAGUUGCUUUGAAUGGUGGUAACCCAUUUACCAUCUUCUUCUGUUGUAAUGUUUUGAUGCCAUUCCAGCGGAGAUGUCCAUAACGGUGGUGCCAAAGGGUGGCCUGAUCAGUGUUGAUGGUUGAAAAAUAAGCUUGAUCUUGUGUGGACUUGCAGUGACCAAUGACAGUAAACAGCCGAUUGUGGGUCAUCGCAAUUUCAAUAAUUAGACCUUUCACAGGAUGAAAGAUCUUACAUUUGCCCUGCUGCAUUGUCACAGCAAGUCCCUUCUCCAUUAAUUGACCAAUGCUUAGAAGAUUGUUCUUCAAUUCUGGAACAAAGAAGACAUCUGUGAUGACAUGGUAAAUUACAUUCACUUCUAUUCGAAUACGUCCUCUGCCAUGCACACUAAGACUGGAAUUGUUCCCCAUUUUCACUGAUUCUUUGAAAUUGCAGUCAAAGUCAAAAAAUAUAUCCCUCCUACCACACAUAUGGUUACUGCACCCGGAAUCAAGAAACCAUAUGUGUUGCGCAGCAUCAUCCUGAGAAGAAAUGUGUGCCAUUAGCAACAUUUCUUCUCUUGUCUCUACAUAGUGUGCCUUCUGAUCACCUAGUGUCUUGGAACAUUCCCAUUGGUAAUGUCCGAAGUCAUCAUAAUUGUAGCAUUUUAUUGUUGAUUUGUCAAAGACAAACCUGCCUCUGCCUCUUCCUCCUCUUCCUCUUCCUCUGCCACGAUAGGGGUUGCGUCCCCCAUCACGACCUCUUUGUUGACCUCCAUAACUGACCUACAAUGUUUGCUCUUCCAUUAUGACAUGACGACUGAUUCGUUGUUCAUGAACCAGCAAGCUACUCUGUAGUUCGUCAAUGGACAGAUUGUCCAGGUCAUUGGACUCCUCGAUUGAACAUACGACAUAGUCAUAUUUCGGAGUCAUGGACCUUAGGAUUUUCUCAAUAAUCACCACAUCUUUCAUGUGCUCCCCAUGAAUUCUCAUUUUGUUAGCAAUAAUGAGUGUUUUUGCAAAAUAAUCACUGACUGAAUCACCAGAUUUCAUGUGCAGUACCUCAAAUUCCUUCUGCAAAGCCUGCAAUUGAGCACGUUUCACACGUGCAGUUCCUUGGUAUUUCUGUUUCAAAGAAUCCCAGAUGUCCUUUGUUGUGUCCUUCUUCAGUAUGGUUCCAAGAUCGAUCGGUCGAGAGCUUGAAACAGGUAAUUCUUGCAUUUCAGGUCCUUCAAUUUCUGUUCUUCAUGCAAUUUCUUCUGCGCCUCUGUUGGUUCAUCUCCUUCUGCUGCUGCAGUGAUCCCCAUCUCCAUAAGGCUCCAGUAUUCUUUGGAGCGUAAGAAAUUCUCCAUCAGCAUACUCUAGUGAUCAUAGUGACCAUCAAGCUUUGGGAUGGCAGGCUGAACAAAGCUACUUUCCGAUGACAUGAUUUUGGUGUUUGGCAGGUUGUUGUGUUUAGUUCUUUUGUGCUCUGAUACCAAAUGUUAUAUUUGAGAAAAUAUAAAUUGAUGCACUUAGAACACUGGGAGUAAUUGAUAUCUAUAUUCAAUAGAAACAGUGGCUAUAAAUAGCCUUACAAUGCAAGAUAAAAUCAAAUAACAACCCACGAAGUUCAUGCCCUAAGAUCGUGGUGAAUGACUAAGUCUUGUAACAGAAAAUGUGAUCUUCUCCCUAAUAGACAGGAGACUUAUUUGCAAUGUUAUGGCUAAGUCAACAUCUAAUUUUAUCACGGUGGGCGUUGGUUUUGGGGGUAUGGUUGGUUCAGUUUUUUUUUUUUUGUCUUGGCGAGCUGCGGUUCUGGUCGAGGGAGAUGAAGGGAACGAUUGAGAGGCUGGGAGACGGAGGGCUGUGAGAGGGAGGAGAGAGCGUGCAGUGGCAGAGGGGGAAGCUAGCGAUGGAGAAGGUGAAUAAUAGAUCUGGAAAAGAGAAGGAGUAAUCGGGCGACAGAGAGAGGGAAAAGUCGGGGACGGCUGAAAAAGGAGAAAAGGAAAAGAAAGCGAGAGUGGCGACCGGUUUGGUUUUUAUAGCGUAGGUGGAGGCGAUUCUGUGCAGAGAAAAUAUAUCUACGGUUUUUUUUAUGCUUCCUUAAAUUUUCUCCGCUCAAAAUUGCCCCCCUACAUAAAAAUGUGGUGUGGAAAUCUAUUUAUAAGUGAAGAAAGUUAUUUUUAAUCGACUGGUCCCUCAGUUUGUUGUCUUUCACGAAUUGAUUUUUGACUGUGAAAUGUUUUUAAUUAAUUUUUAAUUGAUAUCAAAAUUUUAAUGCUCUU
rnacentral:lncRNA from 1 species